rnacentral:tRNA from 1 species
GCCUGGCUGGCUCAGUAGACAGAGCAUGCAACUCUUGAUUUCUGGGUUGUAGGUUCAAGCCCCAUGUUGGGUG